UGCAUCUGCAGCCCAUGAGGAUGAGAACCUCCGGGGGCAGGGAGGUUCGACUCGAGCGAAGCGAGAGAACGUUGCGCCAGCAACGGCCCGCAGGG
rnacentral:sRNA from 1 species